rnacentral:rRNA from 1 species
GACGAGCCACACGAACGUUAUUCGGAAUUACUGGGCUUAAAGGGUGCGUAGGCGGCGCGGAAAGUUGGGUGUGAAAUCCCUCGGCUCAACCGAGGAACUGCGCCCAAAACUACCGUGCUCGAGGAAGAUAGAGGUGAGCGGAACUUACGGUGGAGCGGUGAAAUGCGUUGAUAUCGUAAGGAACACCCGUGGCGAAAGCGGCUCACUGGGUCUUCUCUGACGCUGAUGCACGAAAGCUAGAGGAGCAAACGGG